AUGUGGUUUAAUUCGAAGCAACGCGAAGAACCUUACCAGGUUCUUGACAUCCCGAUGCUAUUUCUAGAGAUAGAAAGUUACUUCGGUACAUCGGUGACAGUGGUGCAUGGUUGUCGUCAGCUCGUGUCGUGAGAUGUUGGGUUAAGUCCCGCAACGAGCGCAACCCCUAUUGUUAGUUGCCAUCAUUCAGUUGGGCACUCUAGCGAGACUGCCGGUAAUAAACCGGAGGAAGUGGGGAUGACGUCAAAUCAUCAUGCCCCUUAUGACCUGGGCUACACACGUGCUACAAUGGUUGGUACAACGAGUUGCGAGUCGGUGACGGCGAGCUAAUCUCUUAAAGCCAAUCUCAGUUCGGAUUGUAGGCUGCAACUCGCCUACAUGAAGUCGGAAUCGCUAGUAAUCGCGGAUCAGCACGCCGCGGUGAAUACGUUCCCGGGCCUU
rnacentral:rRNA from 1 species